rnacentral:tRNA from 1 species
ACCUGGUUGGCUGAGUCGGUUAAGCAUCUGACUCUUGGUUUUGACUCAGGUCACGAUCUCACAGUUUGUGGGUUCGAGCCCCACACUGGGCU